UCGGUACGUAUUAUAGUUAUU
rnacentral:piRNA from 1 species